rnacentral:rRNA from 1 species
UAAGGAAUAUUGGUCAAUGGACGCAAGUCUGAACCAGCCAUGCCGCGUGGAGGAUGAAGGCCCUCUGGUUUAAACUUCUUUUAUAUGGGACGAAAAAGGGUCUUUCUAGAUCAACUGACGGUACCAUGUGAAUAAGCACCGGCUAACUCCGUGCCAGCAGCCGCGGUAAUACGGAGGGUGCAAGCGUUAUCCGGAUUCACUGGGUUUAAAGGGUGCGUAGGUGGGUUGGUAAGUCAGUGGUGAAAUCUCCGAGCUCAACUUGGAAACUGCCAUUGAUACUGUCGGUCUUGAAUAUGGUGGAGGUCAGCGGAAUACGUGGUGUAGCGGUGAAAUGCUUAGAUAUGGCAUAGAACGCCAGUGGCGAAGGCGGCUGGCUGGGCAUUAAUUGACACUGAGGCACGAAAGCGGGGGGAUCAAACA